rnacentral:rRNA from 1 species
UACGGGGGGAGCAAGCGUUGUCCGGAAUUAUUGGGCGUAAAGAGCUCGUAGGCGGUCUGUCGCGUCGGAUGUGAAAAUCCAGGGCUCAACCCUGGACCUGCAUUCGAUACGGGCAGACUAGAGUUCGGUAGGGGAGACUGGAAUUCCUGGUGUAGCGGUGAAAUGCGCAGAUAUCAGGAGGAACACCGGUGGCGAAGGCGGGACUCUGGGCCGAUACUGACGCUGAGGAGCGAAAGCGUGGGGAGCAAACAGG